UGAGGAAUAUUGGUCAAUGGGUGCAAGCCUGAACCAGCCAUCCCGCGUGAAGGACGGCUGCCCUAUGGGUUGUGAACUUCUUUUGUAUAGGGAUAAACCUUCCCACGUGUGGGAAGCUGAAGGUACUAUACGAAUAAGCACCGGCUAACUCUGUG
rnacentral:rRNA from 1 species